rnacentral:rRNA from 1 species
UACGUAGGGUGCAAGCGUUAAUCGGAAUUACUGGGCGUAAAGCGUGCGCAGGCGGUUAUGUAAGACAGGUGUGAAAUCCCCGGGCUUAACCUGGGAACUGCAUUUGUGACUGCAUAGCUAGAGUACGGUAGAGGGGGAUGGAAUUCCGCGUGUAGCAGUGAAAUGCGUAGAUAUGCGGAGGAACACCGGUGGCGAAGGCAAUCCCCUGGACCUGUACUGACGCUCAUGCACGAAAGCGUGGGGAGCAAACAGG